ACGAACGCUGGCGGCGUGCUUAACACAUGCAAGUCGAACGGUGAAGCGCCUUCCUUUUUGGUGGGUGUGGAUGAGUGGCGAACGGGUGAGCAACACGUGAGUAACCUGCCCCCUUCUUCUGGAUAACCGCAUGAAAGUGUGGCUAAUACGGGAUAUUCUGGGUCUGUCGCAUGAUGGGUCUGGGAAAGAUAUUGUUUCGGUGGGGGAUGGGCUCGCGGCCUAUCAGCUUGUUGGUGGGGUGAUGGCCUACCAAGGCGGUGACGGGUAGCCGGCCUGAGAGGGUGGACGGUCACACUGGGACUGAGACACGGCCCAGACUCCUACGGGAGGCAGCAGUGGGGAAUAUUGCACAAUGGGCGCAAGCCUGAUGCAGCGACGCCGCGUGAGGGAUGGAGGCCUUCGGGUUGUGAACCUCUUUCGCCAGUGAAGCAGGCCUGCCUCGUUUGUGGGUGGGUUGACGGUAGCUGGAUAAGAAGCGCCGGCUAACUACGUG
rnacentral:rRNA from 1 species